GUGAGGAAUAUUGCGCAAUGGAGGCAACUCUGACGCAGCCAUGCCGCGUGCAGGAAGAAGGCGCUACGCGUUGUAAACUGCUUUUAACCGGGAAGAAACCCCAGGACGUGUCCUGGGUUGACUGUACCGGAGGAAUAAGCACCGGCUAACUUCGUGCCAGCAGCCGCGGUAAUACGAAGGGUGCAAGCGUUAUCCGGAUUCAUUGGGUUUAAAGGGUGCGUAGGCGGAGCGUUAAGUCAGUGGUGAAAUCCUGCAGCUUAACUGUAGACUUGCCAUUGAUACUGGCGCUCUUGAGUGCGCUUGAAGUGGGCGGAAUGUGCCGUGUAGCGGUGAAAUGCUUAGAGAUGGCACAGAACACCAAUUGCGAAGGCAGCUCACUAAGGCGAUACUGACGCUGAGGCACGAAAGCGUGGGGAUCGAACAGGAUUAGAAACCCGAGUAGUCC
rnacentral:rRNA from 1 species